rnacentral:rRNA from 1 species
CCAGACUCCUACGGGAGGCAGCAGUAGGGAAUUUUGCGCAAUGGGGGAAACCCUGACGCAGCAACACCGCGUGAAUGUUAAGCCCUUCGGGGUGUAAAGUUCUGUCAAUAGGGACGAAUUUUGACUGUACCUAUAAAGGAAGCACCGGCUAACUCCGUGCCAGCAGCCGCGGUAAUACGGGGGGUGCAAGCGUUAUCCGGAUUUACUGGGUGUAAAGGGAGCGUAGACGGUUUUUCAAGUCUGAAGUGAAAGCCCGCGGCUCAACUGCGGAACGGCUUUGGAAACUGAGGGACUAGAGUGCUGGAGGGGCAGGCGGAAUUCCUGGUGUAGCGGUGAAAUACGUAGAUAUCAGGAGGAACACCGGUGGCGAAGGCGGCCUGCUGGACAGUAACUGACGUUGAGGCUCGAAAGCGUGGGGAGCAAACAGGAUUAGAUACCCUAGUAAUC